GACGAACGCUGGCGGCGUGCUUAACACAUGCAAGUCGAACGGACAGGCCCUGCUUUUGUGGGGUUCUCGAGUGGCGAACGGGUGAGUAACACGUGAGUAACCUGCCCUUGACUUUGGGAUAACUUCAGGAAACUGGGGCUAAUACCGGAUAGGAGCUCCUGCUGCAUGGUGGGGGUUGGUAAGUUUCGGCGGUUGGGGAUGGACUCGCGGCUUAUCAGCUUGUUGGUGGGGUAGUGGCUUACCAAGGCUUUGACGGGUAGCCGGCCUGAGAGGGUGACCGGCCACAUUGGGACUGAGAUACGGCCCAGACUCCUACGGGAGGCAGCAGUGGGGAAUAUUGCACAAUGGGCGGAAGCCUGAUGCAGCAACGCCGCGUGCGGGAUGACGGCCUUCGGGUUGUAAACCGCUUUCGCCUGUGACGAAGCGUGAGUGACGGUAAUGGGUAAAGAAGCACCGGCUAACUACGUG
rnacentral:rRNA from 1 species